GAUGAACGCUGGCGGCGUGCCUAAUACAUGCAAGUCGAGCGAACGGACGAGAAGCUUGCUUCUCUGAUGUUAGCGGCGGACGGGUGAGUAACACGUGGAUAACCUACCUAUAAGACUGGGAUAACUUCGGGAAACCGGAGCUAAUACCGGAUAAUAUUUUGAAUCGCAUGGUUCAAAAGUGAAAGGCGGUCUUGCUGUCACUUAUAGAUGGAUCCGCGCUGCAUUAGCUAGUUGGUAAGGUAACGGCUUACCAAGGCAACGAUGCAUAGCCGACCUGAGAGGGUGAUCGGCCACACUGGAACUGAGACACGGUCCAGACUCCUACGGGAGGCAGCAGUAGGGAAUCUUCCGCAAAGGGCGAAAGCCUGACGGAGCAACGCCGCGUGAGUGAUGAAGGUCUUCGGAUCGUAAAACUCUGUUAUUAGGGAAGAACAUAUGUGUAAGUAACUGUGCACAUCUUGACGGUACCUAAUCAGAAAGCCACGGCUAACUACGUG
rnacentral:rRNA from 1 species